CAGGGAGACAACAAAAUGUUUAAUAUUAUUAUUUUGUCACCUUAGGUCGAUCGGUAUCUCACGUUUUUAAUUUAUUAAGAAUUUCAUUUCCUAAGUUUUUCUAGGUCACACCCAUUUUUUCCUGGGCCAUUAGCUCAAGUGGUUAGAGCGCACCCCUGAUAAGGGUGAGGUCCCUGGUUCAAGUCCAGGAUGGCCCAUAUCUCUAUGUUGGGGGUAUAGCUCAGUUGGUAGAGCGCCUGCUUUGCAAGCAGGAUGUCGGCGGCUCGAGUCCGCUUACCUCCACUGAUUACCACCUCUUCCAUAACCGGUAGAAAGGAAAUGUUUUGAGUUGUGAUCAAAUUCUGAAAGAAUCUAGCUUCCUAAUGAAAUCAUUAAGAUGCUGGACUCAUUGAAUUAAUUUCAUUGUUUUCAGAGAACCUUGACAACUGCAUAGAUUAUUUUUAAAGACAAUAAGCAUCUUUAUGAUGCAGAUUUAUUAUUUGUGCGAAUGCAUUAAUAACAAUUCUAUUAAGCUGAUGCUUCAAUUUUUGAAGUUAUU
rnacentral:tRNA from 1 species